CUUAUCAAAGUGACUAAUGACCUAAUCUCCGCUAAAUCCAAAGGUCAUUACUCCAUAUUAAUUCUCCUUGACCUCUCUGCUGCCUUUGACACCGUUGAUCAUGCUCUCCUCCUUCAAACUCUUCAAUCGCUCGGUCUCUGUGACUCAGUCCUCUCUUGGUUUUCCUCCUAUCUCUCCCAACGCUCAUUCAGUGUCUCCUUUUCCAAGGAUACCUCCUCCACUCGUCCUGUCUCGGUUGGAGUUCCCCAAGGGUCUGUCCUUGGUCCCCUUCUAUUUUCUCUUUAUACCGCCUCUCUUGGUAAACUGAUUGCC
rnacentral:lncRNA from 1 species